CCUUGAAAUACCACCCUUUAAUGUUUGAUGUUCUAACGUGGAUCCGUGAUCCGGGUUGCGGACAGUGUCUGGUGGGUAGUUUGACUGGGGCGGUCUCCUCCUAAAGAGUAACGGAGGAGCACGAAGGUUGGCUAAUCCUGGUCGGACAUCAGGAGGUUAGUGCAAUGGCAUAAGCCAGCUUGACUGCGAGCGUGACGGCGCGAGCAGGUGCGAAAGCAGGUCAUAGUGAUCCGGUGGUUCUGAAUGGAAGGGCCAUCGCUCAACGGAUAAAAGGUACUCCGGGGAUAACAGGCUGAUACCGCCCAAGAGUUCAUAUCGACGGCGGUGUUUGGCACCUCGAUGUCGGCUCAUCACAUCCUGGGGCUGAAGUAGGUCCCAAGGGUAUGGCUGUUCGCCAUUUAAAGUGGUACGCGAGCUGGGUUUAGAACGUCGUGAGACAGUUCGGUCCCUAUCUGCCGUGGGCGCUGGAGAACUGAGGGGGGCUGCUCCUAGUACGAGAGGACCGGAGUGGACGCAUCACUGGUGUUCGGGUUGUCAUGCCAAUGGCACUGCCCGGUAGCUAAAUGCGGAAGAGAUAAGUGCUGAAAGCAUCUAAGCACGAAACUUGCCCCGA
rnacentral:rRNA from 1 species